rnacentral:lncRNA from 1 species
AGCGAGCGGGCGCGGAGCACCCCAGUGAGCGCUCAGCGAGGAGUCAUAUGCCCUUAAACAAAAUGAGAGACAUACAGAAGUUACAUGAUAGAGCUUUGUAUGGGAACACAGACAAUAUGCAUGUCUGUAUGCAGCUUGGAGAACAGUAUGAAUGUAAUUUUCUCUGUAUGGCAUCCACAGGGGCCCUUGGACAUUUGGAUACAUAAAGAAGCUGUUUUUAUCUCCUUGGCCAAAAUGAUCAGUCCCUGGAAUAAGCAGGUAAAAAAGCAUGAUGUUCAGCGUGCUGUUAGUUUACCUUCACCACGUGAUAUUCAGUUUGCUUUUAAAAUGCUUACACUGUGGCUGCCCCUUUGGCUGCCUGUGCUGCUAGUGGUGAUGGG